AUUUGUUUGUUGGGUUGCUGGUAAAAUAUGGGAGACUGAAGGAAAGUUUAGGUCUUUUUGAUAUAGUGUUCAUUAAUUUCUCUGAUACCUUGUAGGAUGUAAUCUUUGUGUUCUUGAGUGUUGAAAUUUAUACUGGUUUAUCAGUGUGGUAGCUGAGAAAAUGUAAAAUAUAAGAGAGGAAAAUGUGCUUUUUUGUUAAGGUUUAUGGAUAAAUGUAGUCGGUGCUUAUGGCUACAAAUAGGACUAGACAGUGAAAAAUAGACAUAUAUAUAGGAAAGGUUACGAGGAUGUACACGGAUAUUUCGAUUUUGGUAACUGAAAUGAGGAGUGAAAUCACUUUAAA
rnacentral:misc_RNA from 1 species